UUUGUUGAAGCUGAUUUCUGUAUUUCGUAAAAUCCUUGAUGCGAAUGCGUUGAUCGAAUCAGGUGACGGUGAAACCCGCGGUGGCGGCGUCCUCCGGGCGGUCUGUGGUACCAAAUCCCUACGAUCAGUGCAGUCGUUGAGGAAAAGAACAUGUAACAGGAAAAAAAGAAGUAUUCGGAUGCAUAUUGGGAUUUACUGCCUUCAUUGAUGUGGAUGCAUGUUGCUUGAUCCUAAUCCUCAGGUACAAAUGGAUGCAUGUAGUUUUUUUUUUUGUUCUAACAUUGUGGGAUAUUCAAACCUCUGACAUUUUGGUCGAGAAUAUAGUACUAUGUUAGUUGACCUAUGCUCAUGUUGACAAUUGAUACAAAACACUACAAUGGUGUAAAGUCGUACAACUAGACUUUUAUUUAAAUUAAAUUCUUUUCUUACUGGUUUA